AUGAACACGUGGAUAGUAAGAGGUGGAAAGGUUUCGCAGAACUUCCCCUGGGCUUGUGAGCAAACAGAGUUUGGAGAUUUAAACCCUUGUGGGAGUUCAUCUACACUAAACAGAACAGCAGAGCACCAGUGCUUAGAGGCUUCCUACCACCGGCUUGUGGCUGACUGGACAGUGGUGCCAGAUCAAGGGACAGGAGUGUCAUCAAGUGACUCCGUCUGUAAACACAAUGGCUAGCGUGCUGUACAGUUCUGUCUUGUUCUGUUGUGGCUAUUGAGACCACAGGCGAAGCUGAUAGCCUGACUGCCUUCCCACUUCAUAUCUAGAAUUUUGGCUGAACUUAAAUCUGUUUACAUGUAUUUGUUGUAUGUGCGUGUGCGUGAUGUAUCUCUUGCAUGAAGUCAUAGGUCUGAGGGCAACUUCAGAGUUAGCUCUCUUCUUCUAACAUUUGGAUUCUGGGGAUCAAACUCAUGUCGUCAGGCUGAAGGAAAAGUACCUUUGCUUACUGAGCCAUCCUUAUAUUGUGCGCCAGUUGACUUUUGUCAAUUUGACACAAACCUAGACAUAUCUGGGAAGAGGAACCUCCAUUGAGAAAAUGCCUCCCUCCAUCAGAUUGCCUAUAGGCAAGUCUGUCUGGCGGGGGUUUUAUUACUAAUUGGUGUGAGAGGAUUCAGCUCUCUGUGGGUGAUGCCACCUCUGAUUAGUUUGUUCUGCAUGGUUUAAGAAAGUAGGCCAAGCAAGCCAUAAGUGAAUACACCAAUAACCAGCAUUCAAGAUGCUGUGAAAAAUUAUAAAACGCGUGCUACAAAGCCCAAAGGCAGUUGCAGACCACAAGGUCAAACUUCAUGCCCAAGGAGGUCAACACAGAACGGAAAAAGACUCAGAGGCCUUGACAGAUCACCAGCCAGCAGCCCUAGAGCUACACUCAGGGGUGGAUGACAGAGCCAGACAAUGCCAGCUUGGGGCGCAUGAGGCAUGGGAGGAGAUGAAGAUGCUUAGACAGGAAGGAAGAGGAAACAUGAAAGGAAGCUGAGG
rnacentral:lncRNA from 1 species